UACGAAGGGGGCUAGCGUUGUUCGGAUUUACUGGGCGUAAAGCGCACGUAGGCGGGUCGUUAAGUCAGGUGUGAAAGCCUUGAGCUCAACUCAAGAAAUGCACUUGAUACUGGAUGACUAGAGGACCGGAGAGGAUAGUGGAAUUCCCAGUGUAGUGGUGAAAUACGUAGAGAUUGGGAAGAACACCAGUGGCGAAGGCGGCUAUCUGGACGGUUUCUGACGCUAAGACGCGAAAGCGUGGGGAGCAAACAGG
rnacentral:rRNA from 1 species